AUGAAGUGCAACGCUUGCUGGCGGGAGUUGGAAGGACAAGCCAUAACAACAACUUGUGGCCAUCUUUUAUGUACAGAGGAUGCAAAGAAAAUACUCAGUAACGAUGGUGCAUGUCCAAUUUGUGACCAAGUACUUUCCAAAAGCCAUAUGAAGCCUACUGACAUAAAUCCAAGCGAUGAAUGGACAGAUAUGUCAAUGACUGGAGUUUCUCCACAGAUACUUAUGAAGAGUGCAUACAGAAGUGUCAUGUUUUACAUCGGACAAAAGGAUCUGGAGAUGCAAUACAAGAUGAACAGAAUUGUUGGUCAAUGUAGGCAAAAGUGUGAAGUUAUGCAGGCAAAGUUCACUGAAAAACUGGAAGAAGUGCAUGCGGCAUACCAGAAGAUGGCCAAAAGAUGCCAGUUGAUGGAACAAGAGAUUGAAAACUUGACAAGGGAUAAGCAGGAGUUACAGGAAAAAUUUGCAGAGAAAUCCAGGCAGAAGAGGAAGCUUGAUGAGAUGUAUGAUCAGCUGAGAAACGAGUAUGAAUCAGUAAAACGUUCAGCCAUUCAACCUGCAAACAACUACUUCCCUAGAGCUCAGCCUGACUUGUUCUCAGGCAUGCCCAACAUAUUGGACAGCGGCGACCCUCUGAGACAAGGAUCGAUUGAUCCUCCUGAAACCCCAGGGCGCAGAGAUGAGGGAUGGGCUCCACAACCAAGGCAACGACGUGAGAACUCUGGUCCAUUUGAGCUGUCUGGGGGUUCUCCUGGUCACACUGCUGCACCUCCGAUGGAUAUGAGACCCAGACAGCCGCCACGGUCCGUCUUUGGAGCUAACAUGAACAAUUCUUCGACAGCUCUGAGAAAUAUGAUAAUCUCACCAGUGAAGCGUCCCCAGCCCCGUAACCGUCCACAAAUGUUCACGUAA
rnacentral:rRNA from 1 species